rnacentral:tRNA from 1 species
GGGGGCGAACGACGCACCCAGCGUGAGGUCGCCGAGGUCGCCGGCGUGACCGAGGUCACGAUCAGGAACAGAUAUAAGGAACUGGCUGAAAAGUUAGAUAUCGAGAUAAUCCUCUAAUCUUUUUAUUUCGGGCUCGUAGAUCAGGGGUAGAUCGUUACGUUCGCAACGUAAAGGCCGCGGGUUCAAUUCCCGCCGGGUCCAUC